rnacentral:rRNA from 1 species
UACGUAGGGCGCGAGCGUUUGUCCGGAAUUAUUGGGCGUAAAGAGCUCGUAGGCGGCCUGUUGCGUCCGCUGUGAAAUCCCGGGGCUCAACCCUGGGCGUGCAGUGGAUACGGGCAGGCUGGAGGCAGGCAGGGGAGAACGGAAUUCCCGGUGUAGCGGUGAAAUGCGCAGAUAUCGGGAGGAACACCGGUGGCGAAGGCAGUGGUCUGGGCCGAUACUGACGCUGAGGAGCGAAAGCGUGGGGAGCGAACAGG